rnacentral:rRNA from 1 species
CCCUUAGAUGUUCUGGGCUGCACGCGCGCUACACUGAUGCGCUCAACGAGUUUACGAACUUGCCCGGAAGGGUUGGUUAAUCUUUUUAAAACGCAUCGUGAUGGGGAUAGAUUAUUGCAAUUAUUAAUCUUCAACGAGGAAUUCCUAGUAAGCGCAAGUCAUCAGCUUGCGUUGAUUACGUCCCUGCCCUUUGUACACACCGCCCGUCGCUCCUACCGAUUGAAUGGUCCGGUGAAGCGUUCGGACCGUGGCCUUUGGACGGUUCGCCGUCUGUUGGCUGCGGGAAGUUCGUUAAACCUUAUCAUUUAGAGGAAGGAGAAGUCGUAACA